ACUUAUAACCAUGCUGUGCCCUUCCCCACAGGUUUGUGGUCUUCAGUCCACUUGUUCAGUCAAGUGCACAUUCAGUUUGCACUUGAUCCACUUCACUCUUUGGGAAGCUGGAAUGGUCCUCCAUGUGACAGAUAAAGACACCAAAGCUCAGAGAUUCUGAAAGAGAGGAAAGGAAAGAGAAACACUGACGGGAGAGAAGCAUUGAUCAGUUGUAGGCACCCAGACUGGGGAUCCACAGAGGGACCAGGGAUCUUACAUGUCCUGAUGGGGUUGCACGUGUCUGCACCUGGACCGGGAAUGAACCCACAACCCAGAUGGGAAAACUGAAGCCCGCAGAAAUGGAGAGGUCUAUCAAAGGUCAAGUCACUAUUUAGUUGAAAAGAGGCAAGAACUUGAACCUCUCAGCAAACACUUCAGAGGUCAAUGAAACUUCAGCGUAGGGAAAGGAGGCUGUGACUAGCUCUGGCUAUUUUGAGAAGCAUAGGAAAGGAACCUGCCCUCCACAAGUCCAGGGCUUCUACCCCAGACAUGGGCUCUCUUUCCCUACACCUGCCAUGCUGAAACACCUCACAGCAGCCUACACAGCACAUGGCAGGGGAAACCGAUUCUGCAGCCUCCCUUUCUGACAGAUGCUUGGGGGACAGCAUUUCUACAGACUUUCUCACGGGGAGCAGGUGAGGUGGCCCUCUUGGGGGAAGGACUUGGGCAUAUUUCUCCUGGGGCAGCUGUAGAUCCACUGAGCACAGCCUUUGCUGGAUAAUAAAAUGGUUGUCACUUUAGGCAACAAUGACCAAGGGGCUGGCUGGGACAGAUCAACAUGGCCAUAGGAUCAGAGCAGCGAGACAGUGGAAGGACCACAGCAGCGGCUCUCAGACUCCGUCCCCACAGAGCGCUCAGGGUCUGUGAGCUUGGCUCAU